GCCUGCCCAGUGAAUAAUUAAACGGCCGCGGUACCCUAACCGUGCAAAGGUAGCGUAAUCAUUUGUCUAUUAAUUGUAGACCUGUAUGAAAGGCAUAAUGAGGGUUUAACUGUCUCUUUUAGUAAAUCAAUUAAACUGAUCUCCUAGUCCAAAAGCUAGGAUACCACCAUAAGACCAGAAGACCCUGUGAAACUUUAACUAAAAUAUUAAAGCCUAUAAUAACUACUUUAGGUUGGGGCGACCUUGGAAAAUAAAAGAACUUCCACACAUAUUAUACAAUAAUAUAUAACCGGCCAACAAGCCUACAACGACCCAGCACAGCUGAUAAUUGAACCAAGCUACUCCAGGGAUAACAGCGCUAUCUUCUUCAAGAGCCCAUAUCAAAAAGAAGGUUUACGACCUCGAUGUUGGAUCAGGACAUCCUAAUGGUGCAACCGCUAUUAAGGGUUCGUUUGUUCAACGAUUAAUAGUCCUACGUGAUCUG
rnacentral:rRNA from 1 species